AUUGAACGCUGGCGGCAGGCCUAACACGUGCAAGUCGAGCGGUAGCACAAGAGAGCUUGCUCUCUGGGUGACGAGCGGCGGACGGGUGAGUAAUGUCUGGGAAACUGCCUGAUGGAGGGGGAUAACUACUGGAAACGGUAGCUAAUACCGCAUGAUGUCUUCGGACCAAAGUGGGGGACCUUCGGGCCUCACGCCAGCAGAUGUGCCCAGAUGGGAUUAGCUAGUAGGUGGGGUAAUGGCUCACCUAGGCGACAAUCUCUAGCUGGUCUGAGAGGAUGACCAGCCACACUGGAACUGAGACACGGUCCAGACUCCUACGGGAGGCAGCAGUGGGGAAUAUUGCACAAUGGGCGCAAGCCUGAUGCAGCCAUGCCGCGUGUAUGAAGAAGGCCUUCGGGUUGUAAAGUACUUUCAGCGAGGAGGAAGGCAUUGUGGUUAAUAACCACAGUGAUUGACGUUACUCGCAGAAGAAGCACCGGCUAACUCCGUGCCAGCCGCCGCCGUAA
rnacentral:rRNA from 1 species